GACAUGUCGUCGACCCUCACAAAUCUCUCUUCUAGCUCUCUUAAUUUUACGUAUUUUUGAAUUAUUUUUUUCUAAGUUAAUUUAGAGAACUCUGAAAUUUCUUAAGAGAGACUCCCAUUGGAGAUGGCCUUAGUAUCUUCAAUUUUAUUCUCAUGAUCACUGCCUCCAAUUUAAAGAUAUUGUAUAAUGGUUUCUCCUACCGACA